GACGAACGCUGGCGGCGUGCCUAAUACAUGCAAGUAGAACGCACAGUUUAUACCGUAGCUUGCUACACCAUAGACUGUGAGUUGCGAACGGGUGAGUAACGCGUAGGUAACCUGCCUGGUAGCGGGGGGUAACUAUUGGAAACGAUAGCUAAUACCGCAUAAUCUUGAUUAUUGCAUGAUAAUUCAUUGAAAGAUGCUAUUGCAUCACUACCAGAUGGACCUGCGUUGUAUUAGCUAGUGGGUGAGGUAACGGCUCACCUAGGCGACGAUACAUAGCCGACCUGAGAGGGUGAUCGGCCACACUGGGACUGAGACACGGCCCAGACUCCUACGGGAGGCAGCAGUAGGGAAUCUUCGGCAAUGGACGAAAGUCUGACCGAGCAACGCCGCGUGAGUGAAGAAGGUUUUCGGAUCGUAAAGCUCUGUUGUAAGAGAAGAACGGGUGUGAGAGUGGAAAGUGCACACUGUGACGGUAUCUUACCAGAAAGGGACGGCUAACUACGU
rnacentral:rRNA from 1 species